GGCGGUGUAGCUCAGUUGGCUAGAGCGCUCGGUUCAUACCCGAAAGGUCAGUGGUUCGAGCCCACUCACCGCUACCA
rnacentral:tRNA from 1 species